AUUGAACGCUGGCGGCAGGCCUAACACAUGCAAGUCGAGCGAGCGGCGGACGGGUGAGUAAUGCCUAGGAAUCUGGCUUAUGGAGGGGGAUAACGACGGGAAACUGUCGCUAAUACCGCGUACCAUAGGAUGAGCCCAAGUGGGAUUAGGUAGUUGGUGGGGUAAUGGCCUACCAAGCCGACGAUCUCUAGCUGGUCUGAGAGGAUGACCAGCCACACCGGGACUGAGACACGGCCCGGACUCCUACGGGAGGCAGCAGUGGGGAAUAUUGCGCAAUGGGGGCAACCUGACGCAGCCAUGCCGCGUGAAUGAAGAAGGCCUUCGGGUUGUAAAGUUCUUUCGGUGACGAGGCGUUAAUCACAGAAGAAGCACCGGCUAACUCCGUGCCAGCAGCCGCGGUAAUAC
rnacentral:rRNA from 1 species